CAGGAGCAUCCCUGAUAGUAGGUCCAGAACCCAGACUGCCUAGUAUAGGGGCCAGGAGGGCAGGGCCAGUGGUAGGAGCAUGAAUUUCAUGGUUGGAUGGGUUUUUCAGGAUAACGAUGUCUCCAUAGGCUGGGAAUCCAAUGAUGAGCUUCUCAGCUGGGGCCCCAUUGCCCUUCCAGUGCUUCUUGGUUUAACCUUGCAAAGGUAGCAGUUUAGCUAGAGACCCCACCCUACUGAUGACCUAGUAAUAUGUAUUAGCUAAGCUUUUUUUUUUGAGUGGUUGUUCCUGCUGUAUAAAGUAUUUGCAAUGUGUUUCAGAGCAUCAUUGAUAUAUCUCUGUUGAAGUGGUAUGUAUCCCAACAAAUGUCUUUCAAUAACAUAACAGUAUGUAGGCUUUAGAUAUAGCCUUCCCACUAAAAAUGUAUGGCGAGAAGGACAAAGGGGGUUUUUUCAUGAUUUUUCUUGGUAUGAUCCAUUGCCGAAUGGCUGAAAUUCUGUAUGGCAUACAUGUGCAAGAGAUUAUCAUAGUAGAAAAAAGUCAAGACAGAAGGGGAAGAGAAGAAGAAGGAGGUGGGAGACAUGUUCUGUAAUUUAUGGGGAAAACAUGAGUAAUGGUACUUCAUCUUCUUUAUUUAAAAAAAAGCACAGGUUGUUAAUCUUGUUUCCUAUCUAAAUAAAAUUAUCAGUACAGUAUUAAUUAAUUGGUGAAUUUUUAGUAAGUGGAAACUGGCUAAUGACAUAACAGGCUGAUUUCUCAUUUAAGAAAAUUACUAAAUUUAUGAUGCCUUUUGUCCCUGAUCCUCCCUGUCAUUUACAGCAGCAUUCCUGGUCUGCCUUUGGGUCUGUGCGGGGACUCCACAUGGUUGGUGAUGCUGCCAGUGCCAGGUGGCUAUUUGUAGAGAGAGCUCUUCUGUCCAGCGUAGCCACCCCCGCAACCCCAGGAACCUGAGGUCAUGAGUCACAAUAUGGAUCUAGUCUAGGUGCCUGAGGUAUGGUAAAGGAUUUCUUUUUUGUUUUUUUAUUUACCUAAACAUGUCUUUCAACUUUACUUUUGGAUAUUUUCACUGAACAGAAUUGGGUUGACUUUUUUUUUUUUAGGGUUUAAAAGAUAGUCUAUUAUUUUUUGGCCUCUGAUAUUUAUUUCCUUUUUUUAAUUUUUCUUUUUGCAGUUACACCUGCGGCAUAUAGAAGUUGCCAGGCUAGGGGUCAAAUCAGAGCAGCAGCUGCCAGCCAAUGCCACAGCCACAGCAAUGCAGGACCAAAGCCACAUCUGUGACCUACACCCCCAGCUUGUGGCAAGGCCAGAUCCUUUAACCCAGGGAUCGAACCCACAUCCUCAUGGAUACUGGUCAGGUUCUUAACCUGCUGUACCACAACGGGAACUCCCAAAGACAUUUCUGAUUACUUUCCACUCCUAUGCAGGCAAAAGAUGAGACUUCCCAAACCGCCUAAACAAGGUUCCUGAACAGCGGGCUGACUAAGAAUGAGUGUCUCUUGCACAACUGAUACACAGAGGAGUUAUGGGACAUGUUAUCACUCACUGGGACAGCUGGGGGAUCUCAUAGCCAGACUGGAUGUUGGAGAUGCCAGCAGCUACCGCAGCGGUGACCAUCAGCUUGGGUUUGUUGAUCUCCUCGGCUUGCCGUCCGUGCAUAUUCCACACAUGCGUAGAAGAAAAUCUGUGGACAUCAACUCAACGCUGACUUCCAGCACUACUCUGAGUUAAGUUAGUCUCUCCCAUCCUUCGUUCCUCGCAUCCUCCCUGGAAUGGAGUCUCCAGAUCCCUCCUCUCCAACUGAGGCUGUAGGAGCUAGGCUUUCUAUGUGGCCUCAGUUUUCUUGCAUGAGAAACUGGUUGUCUGCUUUCCAGUCAAGAUCAAAUGGAAUACAGUUCACCUGCACCAGGACGGGGAAGAGACGCUUGUCCUGAGGAGCACUUCUGAGAGCCAGCGUUCUUCCAAACUCCUACUGGCCCAGGAAUUUGGUGCCUAAGGCGAUAGAAGUCUGGGGGUUCUCAGUAGUGGAAACGGUGGCAGCCAACAGCCCAAAGAAGGCAGGGUGAGGCCUUGGUCAUCCCAACAGCCUUGUCGUGAAAUCAGUGUAGAAAAUCAUCUUGAAAAGUUCCUGGAGCGGCUCCGAAAUCCCAGCUGCCAACAGCCGGGAGAGUUUUCACAUGACUCCUUCUGAGGGAAAAGAAGCAAAGAGUUGUGUCAGAACAAAUGGAAAGAAAGAUUAAGUUAUUUCAGCAUCAGCUGUUGGAGUGAUUGGGAGGUGAGGGAAGAGCUCAUGCAGCCUCUCAUGCUGGUUUUCUCCAUUCUCACACUUCUGUCCUAAAUAGUGAGAGUGGCUGGAGUCGGUGACCUAAGGUUGCUCUGUUUGAAUGUCUCCCCGCAUCUAAUUACUCCCUUUGGAGUAAAGCGCCCAACUCAGGACACCACUGUGUCAUCAUUGCCAGCUUUGGGGCCCUUCCAAGUGCAAGAAUUGUUUGCAUCUGAGCCCAUCAGUACUCAGACUUUCCCAAAUUUCCCUUGGCGACAGAGCCAUAUUUCAAAUGACAACCACCUCCUGUGAGCCAGCAAUUUCCCUUAUGUUAGAGUCAUCACUGUGCUGGAAAUAAUAAGAAAGCUCAGAAAGUAUCUGUGUGCUACUUGUUUGCCUGUUUGGAAUUUCAGCCUGGAGGCGGCUGCGGAAGCUUUUUUUCAAACUGUUCUUGAAGGUGAAAAGAUUUUGUAUCUCAGCGCUUUCAUCACUUACUUGUUUUUCAGUUCAAGGAGAGUUUGGCAGAGAGUUACAUCCUUUCAUUUAAUGGUGCCAUCUCAUUUCCCACAUCUCUCAGCAAUGGCAUAAGUCGGUAGAAGGACAGAGAGUCAUGCCGAGUUUCUGGAUUAUGAAGAAACAAAAAAAAGGAACGCCGUGGUGGUGUCACCCACAAGGAAGACAUACUCAUCGCAGCUGUCAGCAUGAGGAGCAGAGCUUAAGGCAACAGAGAGCAGCUGGAGGAACACACCUGUGAACAGAGGGGCCUUUGUGAUCUAGUGCUUCGCCUGCAGUAGGACACUUUUCCUAUCUUUUACUCCUGGAGUCCUUUUAAUACUCUCGGUAUAGACUCCCAGCUUCUCCUGGAAGCCCACUCCCCUCUGCUCCCACUCACGAGAUCACUAAAGAGGCAUAGGCUUGAUGAAGUGAGGGAGACAGCAGGGCAGAGAGACACCUGUCACCAGGGAAGGAACUUUGUCCCUGUGCUUUUGCCAAAAGCGAUCAACUCAGGCAAUUUAGUUUGAAUUUGAAGGUUAAAAAAAAAGUUUUCAAGUGGCAAAAAACAAACAAACAAACAAACAAAAAAAAAACAAAAAAAAUCAAAACCAAACCACCAAAAACAAAAACAAAAAGCAAAAUAACCAAGAAGAAGAAAAUGGCUCACAGGCACAGUGUUCCCGUGGUUCCUUACCAGUGAGAAGGAUGAGCUGGGUCAGUUGCCUCAGUGUAGAGGCUCCCUUGACCCACCUUCCUUUCUUAGCUUCAUCCUCUUCACUCGUGACCUACCAGAUUCUCCUUCAUCGUGACUGCCUCUAAAGCAAAUGUUGACCUUGGCAGUGCUAACAAAGCCCAGACUCAUUUAAGAACCUGUUAUUGACAGUGAAACCACACUAUCCUACUUCACUUUACAAGAAGCAAAGAUUGGGCUCCUGGCCCAGGAACCAUAUUAAUAAGCUCCAUUGAUGGAGGAGCUUACAUAAUUCAAGAUGGUUUAUGUCCAUGGGGCUCUAUUCUGGAUAGCAAAGCAACGAAUUGGCUAUAUCCUAUUCUCUUUGACAGGCAGAAGCAUGAACCAACGUUGCAUUCAUCUGUUGUUUGCAUUCAUUUGUUCCUUGUAAGAACAAAUGUUCCUCCUUGAGCAAAGGCAUAGAGAGGAGGAACCUGCUCUGGUUUUUUGCACUCAAAUUCUUACGUCUUUUCUCCUAUUCCCUUUCUCGUUCUUAUUCCUCCUACUUUGUCCCAAACGUCUACCCCUCAAAUGGCCCUACUGAGGGGCUCCUUCCCAUUGUGACACUUCCCCAGGUUCAGCCUGCCUCAGCGGCCCCCAGCAUAACAUGUGUCCCCACCAGCCCCUGAGCCUCAUGGGUGACCCUUCCCACGUGGUUAUUCCCCCAGGACAGCACCUUUUCCUGUGGUCCAUAUUUCUGUGACUGUUUCCCAUAUUCUGGUCACCAAGGCUCUCAGCACAAUAUCAUUUUUUCAAUCAUCUCUCUACUUGUCACCACACUUUGGUUACUAAGCUCCAUGGUCCUCCCCUCCUUGGGCCCAGAGUGUCCCCUCUUCUCAGGACCCUCCAUUACUCCCACCACCACUGCUCUCAGAGCUCCUCAUCUGGGACAGCUUACAGGCACACCUCAGAGACAUUGUGGGUUCAGUUCCAGACCACGGCAACGAAGCAAAUACUGCAAUACAGCAAGUUAACAUGUUUUUUUUUUUUUUUUUGGUUUCCCAGUGCAUAUAAAAGUUAUGUUUACACUAUGCUAUAAUCUGUCAAGUGUGUAAUAACAUUAUGUCUGAAAAAAAUGUACAUACCUUAAUUUGAAAAUAUUUCAUUUUUCAGGAGUUGCUGUCGUGGAUCGGCAGUUAAUGAAUCUGACUAUUACCUGUGAGGACUCAGGUUUGAUCCCUGGCCUUGCACAGUGGGUUAAGGAUCUGGUGUUGCCCUGAGCUGUGGUGUAGGCCAGCAGACAUGGCUCAGAUCCCACAUUGCUGUGGCUGUGGCGUGGCCAGCAGCUACAGCUCCGAUUAGAUCCCUGGGAACCUCCAUGUGUCUCGCGUGUGGCCCUAAAAAAGAC
rnacentral:lncRNA from 1 species